rnacentral:rRNA from 1 species
UACGGAAGGCAGCAGUGGGGAAUAUUGCACAAUGGGCGAAAGCCUGAUGCAGCUAUGCCGCGUGUAUGAAGAAGGCCUUAGGGUUGUAAAGUACUUUCAUCGGGGAGGAAAAAACAAAACUAAUAAUUUUAUUUCUUGACGUUACCCGAAAAAGAAGCACCGGCUAACUCCGUGCCAGCAGCCGCGGUAAUACGGAGGGUGCUAGCGUUAAUCAGAAUUACUGGGCGUAAAGAGCACGUAGGUGGUUUUUUUAAGUCAGAUGUGAAAUCCCUGGGCUUAACCCAGGAACUGCAUUUUGAAACUGAAAUACUAGAGUAUCGUAGAGGGAGGUAGAAUUCUAGGUGUAGCGGUGAAAUGCGUAGAUAUCUGGAGGAAUACCUGUGGCGAAAGCGGCCUCCUAAACGAAUACUGACACUGAGGUGCGAAAGCGUGGGGAGCAAACAGGGAUUAGAUACC